rnacentral:rRNA from 1 species
AUUGAACGCUGGCGGCAUGCCUUACACAUGCAAGUCGAACGGCAGCGGACCUUCGGGUGCCGGCGAGUGGCGAACGGGUGAGUAAUAUAUCGGAACGUACCUUUCAGUGGGGGAUAACGUAGCGAAAGUUACGCUAAUACCGCAUAUUCUGUGAGCAGGAAAGCAGGGGAUCGCAAGACCUUGCGCUGAUUGAGCGGCCGAUAUCAGAUUAGCUAGUUGGUGAGGUAAAGGCUCACCAAGGCGACGAUCUGUAGCGGGUCUGAGAGGAUGAUCCGCCACACUGGAACUGAGACACGGUCCAGACUCCUACGGGAGGCAGCAGUGGGGAAUUUUUGGACAAUGGGCGCAAGCCUGAUCCAGCCAUGCCGCGUGAGUGAAGAAGGCCUGG